AAUAUGGUAACAACGUGAUUUCUAGUGUUUUGGAAAGAUUGUUUCACGUGUAAUGAAAAGCUAGUGUCCAGAUGAUCACUGCGGCCAGAUGGCAAUUUUGAUGCCCUCGUCACUAAGACUUGUCCAAGCCCUGAUGUAUGUGAAGCUCAUCAGGAGGGAAUGCUCGCAAGAAUCAGCUAACACAAUAGCAGCAAGCUUUCAGUGACAGCGUUCAGGAAGGGUGACGAUUCAGGCUGGGAGCAGGUGUAUGGGAACUGUAUAAUCACAGCCUGACCCUCUGUUUGACCACCUGAGGCGAGUGCUGAGUCAGCUGCAGGGGCACAGGUGAUGGCAGUUUCACCUGAGUGACCGGAAGGGGUGGACCCUGGCUGCAGCCCUGCUAGACCCCAUGUAAGGGCUGACUCCCAAGGAGGAAGGCUCUCUCUCUGGAGGUCACCCUUAGUGGAGCUGUUCUGCGCGCCCAGGGUACGGGAAAGCAGUGCGGAGGGAACGUGUGUGGUGAGAUGCUGAGGAGAGAUUGCCUUCCUUGCCCCAGCAGGCUGCUUGUGUCCUGGUGAUGCACGGUGACGAGAAGGCUGCUGUUCUGAACAGCACAAGGCAACAGAGGCGUUGACAGCAGCGAUGGAGAUGGAGAUGUUCAGAGUGGAGGAGCUGUUGGCUCGCUGCAGCCACCCCAGCAUCCCCGGAGGUGGGCACGGGGGGGGGCUUUGGUGCUGCACAAACGACUGCAGGCAGAGGUGUAGGAAAGCGAACGCCAUACGUUUAAUAAUUUAACGUACAAAACAGCAAAUAAAUGAUUAUAUUC
ensembl:lncRNA